rnacentral:rRNA from 1 species
UUCUAUUAGAAAUUAUUAAUAGUAAAAUCUGCUCCAUGUAAUAUAAAUAGCCGCAAUUUGUGCUAAGGUAGCAUAAUCAUUUGUCUUUUAAAUGAAGACUAGAACAAAAGAUUUAACAUUUUCAGUUCAUUUCCCUAACUUAAAUCAUUAAAUUUAUCCUAAAUGUAAAAAGACAUUUAUAUAAAAGAAAGACGAUAAGACCCUAUUGAACUUAACUGUAGUUAAACUGGGGCAGUAAAUUAAUUAUUAUUUUAAUAAAAUAUACUAUAUAAAUAUCUAAUAAAAUUAAAUAAUUCAGUUACCAUAGGGAUAACAGCGUAAUAGUUUUCUAAAGAUCUUAUUUAAAAUAUAGAUUACGACCUCGAUGUUGAAUUAAUAACCUAAUUAAGGCAAAACUUAAAAAAGGAAGUCUGUUCGACUUUUAAAAAAUUACAUGAUUUGAGUUCAGACCGGUGUAAGCCAGGUCGGUUUCUAUCUUCUAAAAAAUUUUUUACAGUACGAAAGGACCUAAAAAUCUAAUA